GCCAUGUUGGCCAGGCUGGUCUCGUACUCCUCACCUCAAGUGAUCUGCCUGCCUCGGCCUCCCAAAGUGCUGGGAUUACAGGCCUGAACCAUGGUGUCCAGCCUUAUUGGGACAUAGAUUUAGAAGUACAAAUACUUUUUAAGUGUUUGAGAUGUAGGUAAGAUACUACUUUUUGUUGUUUAAGUGAUGCCAUGUCAAACUAAACUCUGUCCUUAUUUUUAGUUUUUCCUGGUCAGGUUCUGGAGUUAACCUGUCUCACAGGUUAAGUGAGGUUUUAAUUGGUUAGCCUUCUCUUUGAGAUAGUUGAUGAAAGGUGCUUCGUAUCUUAGUAAAUUUUUGUUCAUGAAUCCUGAGCACAUGCAUGUGUUGUGUUAGAGAGGCAAGAAGGAAGGUCAGUAGAGCAAAUCCUUGUGAAAAGCAUGCUUUUCCCCGUGGAUCACGUAGCCAGGGCUCUGGUGGAUUGUGAACAGCAUGAGAGGAAAAAAAGCACUGGGCAAUUUAAGCUGCAUUUGGCAAUUGAGGUGGCGUUUAAAGGUGAACUUUAUUUUACUAUAAAAACUUUGAUACUGGUAUUGGUGAGAGCAUGAGGGAAACAGGUCUGCUCAUGUGAUAGUAGUUAGAAAGUAACUGGGUGCAACCUUUUCGAAGGAUAUUUAGGCAUUAUUAAAAUUAGGGAUAUAGCCUUUUGAAUAGAAGUUCCACUUCUAGAAAUUGCAAACAGCUACUUGAAAAAGUAUACCAACACACAUGUACUGGGAUGUUUAUUGUAACUAAUAGCAAAAAAAAAAAAAAAAACAAAAAGCAAACAGCAGACAAUAGCCUUCCUGUUCACUAAUGGAUGUGAAAUUACGGACAGGUAAAUGGUAUGCUGACAUUACGCAAGCACUAAAAAAGGAGCUGAGAUCUAUAUGUCCUCAGAUUUAUCCUCCAUAGAUGCAUGGGCAGAGGUAUUUUACAGAACAGUUUGUACCUACAUGUCUUUGUGUAUGUGAUGACAUGAAUGUGUAUGUAUGUAAACAUUUCUAUGGAAAGUGCAUAAGCAAUGGUAGUAUCUGGGCAGUGAGACUAGAAGUUGGGGGGCUGGAAAGGUUGUUUUUAAAGCCCCAGUCAUGUUUUUAAAAGUCAGGAAAAAAAGCCUGCAAUUCAACACUUGAUCUGAUGGGAUUAUUUGGUUGUGUUGAAGGUGCUCUUGUGUCUUUCAGAAGGGGCUCUCCACUGCGGCAUUCCCUCUGAUUGCAGCACCAGCGUGUCUCACUUGGUGGCACCUGAACCUGUCAGUUCUGUUUGUCUCUGUGGUGCAAACACGAGAGAAGGAAACUCAAUAGUUUUGUCACCUUUUCAAUGUCAAGUUUUCUUACUAUGUAUACAUCACUGUUGUGUAUGGGUGUAGGUUUGUUUUCUGUUGUUUUGCUAAAUAGCUUGAUUUUUUUUCACAAAUUCAGGAAGUCCUCCUUGUGAGAAACUUGAUUUUUAAUGUUCUUCUCAUACUUCAUAAUAAUACAGCCUUUAUUCUUACUGUUGAUGCAUAUUUAAAUCUCAAAGUUCUACUUAAAUGAUUAGGUUGGUUUCCAUAUCGUUUAUUUAUCACUUCCAUGUGUCCUAAUUGUACCUGACAGCUCAUUUCUUAACUGUGUGUUAGUCAUUUCUGUUGGUCUUGAGCUAGCAGUCUUGCUAAUAUGGCAGGCUGGCUUUUUCUCUGAGAUCUAUCACCUGUUACUUGUAUAAUGCUGAAAAUAGCUCUAACCACUCUUGUAUCACAUUGCACACCUAGUUGCAGUCUACUUUCACCUCCCUUGACUUUCCAGGGUUUUCUUAUUUACUCAUAUUGGCGUGAUUUUCUUGUGGUAUGGUGUUUAACAGCAAUUUCUUUCCAUAAAAUUAUUUCUUUUGCUUAUUUUCACUAGGGACUUUUUUUUUUUUUUUUUUUUUAAGCAGCAUUCAGGUUUCUGUUGAAAGUUUUUAUCCCAGUUCUUUCAUCCUAAAUAUUGAUAAAGAUAAUAAAUACAGGCAGCUCGUAAUAGUUAAUUCGAACAUAUCAAAUAAAGUAUUUUCCUAUUAACUACACUUCUGUAUAUUUUUAAGCAGAAUUUCAAUCAAGAAGAUACUAUUUUUCCAUAUCCCUUUACUUUCUGAUUUUUUAAAACACUGUUUAUACAAGUUUUUAUCAAACUUCCAACAGAUAAUGGGUAUUGCCUCUCAUAAGUCUUCCAAAGGGACAA